GAUGAACGCUGGCGGCGUGCCUAAUACAUGCAAGUCGAGCGAACGGACGAGAAGCUUGCUUUUCUGAUGUUAGCGGCGGACGGGUGAGUAACACGUGGAUAACCUACCUAUAAGACUGGGAUAACUUCGGGAAACCGGAGCUAAUACCGGAUAAUAUUUUGAACCGCAUGGUUCAAAAGUGAAAGACGGUCUUGCUGUCACUUAUAGAUGGAUCCGCGCUGCAUUAGCUAGUUGGUAAGGUAACGGCUUACCAAGGCAACGAUGCAUAGCCGACCCGAGAGGGGGAGCGGCCACACUGGAACUGAGACACGGUCCAGACUCCUACGGGAGGCAGCAGUAGGGAAUCUUCCGCAAUGGGCGAAAGCCUGACGGAGCAACGCCGCGUGAGUGAUGAAGGUCUUCGGAUCGUAAAACUCUGUUAUUAGGGAAGAACAUAUGUGUAAGUAACUGUGCACAUCUUGACGGUACCUAAUCAGAAAGCCACGGCUAACUACGUG
rnacentral:rRNA from 1 species